AUCUUUUCAUGGUUCACAAGUGUGAUGGUUUGGCUUGCAAACCUCUCUGUGUGAGAUGUACCUGCUUUGGAAACUUACAACUUCCGUCCUCAAUUUACACUUAUCUGAUG
ensembl:snoRNA